UGGCUCAGACGGUAAAGCGUCUGCCUGCAAUGCGGAAGACCCAGGUUCGAUUCCUGG
rnacentral:tRNA from 1 species